GUGCCCACUUCGGCAGCACACAUACUGAAAUCCGAAGGAUACAGAGCAGAUUAGCAUGGUCCCUGUGCAAGGAUGACACGCAAAUUCAUGAAGCGUUCCAUUUUUUU
ensembl:snRNA U6 U6 spliceosomal RNA